rnacentral:rRNA from 1 species
AGCAUGUGGUUUAAUUCGAAGCAACGCGAAGAACCUUACCAGGUCUUGACAUCCCGAUGCUAUUCUAGAGAUAGAAAGUUACUUCGGUACAUCGGUGACAGGUGGUGCAUGGUUGUCGUCAGCUCGUGUCGUGAGAUGUUGGGUUAAGUCCCGCAACGAGCGCAACCCCUAUUGUUAGUUGCCAUCAUUCAGUUGGGCACUCUAGCGAGACUGCCGGUAAUAAACCGGAGGAAGGUGGGAUGACGUCAAAUCAUCAUGCCCCUUAUGACCUGGGCUACACACGUGCUACAAUGGUUGGUACAACGAGUUGCGAGUCGGUGACGGCGAGCUAAUCUCUUAAAGCCAAUCUCAGUUCGGAUUGUAGGCUGCAACUCGCCUACAUGAAGUCGGAAUCGCUAGUAAUCGCGGAUCAGCACGCCGCGGUGAAUACGUUCCCGGGCCUU